rnacentral:rRNA from 1 species
GAUGAACGCUGGCGGCGUGCCUAAUACAUGCAAGUCGAGCGAAUGGAUUAAGAGCUUGCUCUUAUGAAGUUAGCGGCGGACGGGUGAGUAACACGUGGGUAACCUGCCCAUAAGACUGGGAUAACUCCGGGAAACCGGGGCUAAUACCGGAUAACAUUUUGAACCGCAUGGAUCGAAAUUGAAAGGCGGCUUCGGCUGUCACUUAUGUAUGGACCCGCGUCGCAUUAGCUAGUGGGUGACGUAACGGCUCACCAAGGCAACGAUGCGUAGCCGACCUGAGAGGGUGAUCGGCCACACUGGGACUGAGACACGGCCCAGACUCCUACGGGAGGCAGCAGUAGGGAAUCUUCCGCAAUGGACGAAAGUCUGACGGAGCAACGCCGCGUGAGUGAUGAAGGCUUUCGGGUCGUAAAACUCUGUUGUUAGGGAAGAACAAGUGCUAGUUGAAUAAGCUGGCACCUUGACGGUACCUAACCAGAAAGCCACGGCUAACUACGUGCCAGCCGCCGCCGUAA